AUUGAACGCUGGCGGCAGGCCUAACACAUGCAAGUCGAGCGGGGCGGCGGACGGGUGAGUAAUGCCUAGGUAUCUGCCUGGUAGUGGGGGAUAGCGUCCGGAAACGGGCGCUAAUACCGCCUACUCUCAGAUGAGCCUAGGUCGGAUUAGCUAGUUGGUGGGGUAAAGGCCCACCAAGGCGACGAUCCGUAACUGGUCUGAGAGGAUGAUCAGUCACACUGGAACUGAGACACGGUCCAGACUCCUACGGGAGGCAGCAGUGGGGAAUAUUGGACAAUGGGCGAAAGCCUGAUCCAGCCAUGCCGCGUGUGUGAAGAAGGUCUUCGGAUUGUAAAGCACUUUAAGUUGGGAGGCGUUACCAGCAGAAGAAGCACCGGCUAACUCCGUGCCAGCAGCCGCGGUAAUAC
rnacentral:rRNA from 1 species